rnacentral:sRNA from 1 species
AGGAAAACUCACUACCAUGAGAAUUGCAGUGAUUUGCUUUUGCCUCCUAGGCAUCACCUGUGCCCUACCAGUUAAACAGGCUGAUUCUGGAAGUUCUGAGGAAAAGCAGCUUUACAACAAAUACCCAGAUGCUGUGGCCACAUGGCUAAACCCUGACCCAUCUCAGAAGCAGAAUCUCCUAGCCCCACAGGUAUUUUUAAACUUCUCAUAAUUAAACUACAGUGAUGAAAGAUAGCCACACUCAGGCCAUUU